AAAGGCGAAGGGGCCCCACCUGUUCCCAUCCCGAACACAGAAGUUAAGCCCUUCAGCGCCGAUGGUACUUGGCUGGUAACGGCCCGGAAGAGUAGGUCGCCGCCGGUU
rnacentral:rRNA from 1 species